rnacentral:rRNA from 1 species
GAUUUCUGACAGACCGUUGCGGCCCGUGCUCUUCUAGGGCGUGUGUGCCGUGUCGUGUUUGUCAUCCUUCCAGAGAGCUGCGUCUACCAUUCAUUUGGCCGGACGUACGCGAUCUGGAUCGAUUACUUUGAAAAAAUUAGAGUGUUUCAAGCAGGCUAUUGCUAUGAAUACAUUAGCAUGGAAUAAUAAUUUAGGACUUCGGUUCUAUUUUGUUGGUUUCUAGGACUGAAGUAAUGAUUGAUAGGGAUAGUUGGGGGUGCUAGUAUUCAGCGGCCAGAGGUGAAAUUCUUGGAUUCGCUGAAGACUAACUUAUGCGAAAGCAUU